AGAGUUCUUAGUGUAGGACAUAGUACAAAAGUAUACUGUUAUCUCCCAGGGCACCCAGUGCAAGGCUCUUUAUCUCAUCCCGCUUGGGUGUACCUGGUUACCCUCAGUGACCCUCAUUACUGCCAGACGUAUGUUGUUUACAUUACCCCUGCCUACUGUUCCUUUCCCUCACUAAGGCUGAUUCUCAAGAGGGAAUUCAAGAGAGAAUGCCAAUCUAACACUGUUCUUUUCUGUCCUCGUUGGUCACUCAGGACUCAGGUACUUCUGCCCUCCCUUUGGUCUCCCUGUUCUUCUAUGUGGUGACAGAUGGCAAGGAAGUCCUACUACCAGAGGUUGGGGCCAAGGGGCAGUUGAAGUUUAUCAGUGGGCACACCAGUGAACUUGGUGACUUCCGCUUUACACUUUUGCCACCAACCAGUCCAGGGGAUACAGCCCCCAAGUAUGGCAGUUCUUGAUACAGCAGGUGACCCUGAAAAUUCCCAUUUCCAU
rnacentral:lncRNA from 1 species